rnacentral:lncRNA from 1 species
GCGUGAGCCACUGUGCCUGGCCACAUUUGGGUCUGUUUCUGAACUUUCUCUUCUGUUCCAUUGGGCUAUUCAUGUGCCAUUCAGUACUAAUUACCGAGGCCUUAUGAUGAGUUUUAAAGGCUGGGGAGACCAAUCCCUCCUCAUUUUUCUUCUGUUUUAGAGUUUUCCUGGGCUAUGCUUGCUUGUUUUUUUUUUUUUUUUUAAUGCAUCUGUUUGUCUACUUCUGAAGGAAGGAAACUUGCCAGGAGAUUUUAAGAGAUUGUGUUAAAUUUGUAUAUUUGUUUAUGGAAGACUCAAAUAUUUAUAAUAUAUUUGUUUUCUUCUUUAAAACAGUGAUUUUUGAAGAAAUCUGGCAGACAUUACCUUACCAAGUAAGAGAAAUUAUCAUUCACAACUAUGGGAUUAACUAGUAUCAGGCACUGCUAUGGUUUGAAUGUAUAAUGGGUCCCUCCAAAAUUAGUAUAUUGAAACCUAAUCACCAAGGUGAUGCUGUUAGAAGGUGAGGCCUUUGCUUAGGCCGUGAAAGUUCGGUCCUUGUGAAUGGAAUUAAUGCCCUCAUAAAAGGGCUGGAGGGAGCAAGCUGGGCUUUUUUGCCCUCUGCCCAACACAUGAGGACACAGUGUUCGUCCCCUCUGGAGGACACAGCAGCAAGGAAGCAGAGGCCAAGCGCUUACCAGACACUGAAACUGCUGGUGCCUCGAUCUUGGACUUCCCAAACUAUGAGGUAUAAAUUUCUGUUCUUUAUAAAUUAUCCAAUACCAGGUAUGUUGUGAUGGCAACACGAAUGGAGUGACACAGAUGCCUCCUGACUCAUGGAGACUCAGGGAUUCACUGUGAACACAUCACUCAAGCAGGAUUCCUGCCAAAAAUGUGGGCCCUGAAUCUAAUAUAAAAGCAUGUCAUGCAAAAUUAAAUUGGGGGCCAUUCUUUAAAAGAAGUGGCCUGUAUUCUUCAUAACUACCAGGAUCUUUAAG